AAGGGUAUAGCUCGAAUGGUAGAGUGCAUGCUUAGCAUGCACGAGGUCCUGGGUUCAAUUCCCAGUAUCCCCA
rnacentral:tRNA from 1 species